UCCAUCAUUCAGCAAUUUUCUUUGGGUC
rnacentral:piRNA from 1 species